AGCCCCCGACCCCGCAGGUGGGCACAAAGCAGGGCCGCGGUGACCCCGCUGUGCGCCCGCCCUCCCCUCGGCACCAGGAUCUCAGCCCCUGCCCGGCCCCACUGCUGCCCCACGCCGACCCCGCUGCACCGAAUGCCUCUGUGGGGCCCCAUGAGCAGCCCCCAUCCGCAGGAGGACCCACCCCACACCCCGAGCCCACCUCCCCCCACCUCGGCUCUGAGAUCCAAUGGACCCCGCACCGCGCGCUCUACGACUUCCGACCCCAAAAUGAUGACGAGUUGGAACUGAGGGAGGGGGACCGCGUGGAUGUGCUGCAGUGCUGCGAUGAUGGCUGGUUUGUGGGUGUGUGGGGGGCAGACAUGGGGGGUG